rnacentral:rRNA from 1 species
AUGGACGCGCAAGCAUCACAAAGCAGCUCAGCUCCAUCGCCUUCAGUGGUGGCAAGGUCUGUAUGCUCAGCCCAACUCCGAUGCUCUCUGUGCAUUUUAUUUAUACACCAAAAUAUAUUGAAUGGAGGACAAGUUCUACUUUUUGUUAAUGGAGCUAGCUUGAUUGAUUUUUUCAGCAUUAGCUUGAUCAAUCUAAUCCCGGCGGAUGCGCUACUUUUUGUUCAUGCCCACGUGUAUUUGUGUCUGCAAAGGAGCGAGCAUACUAGAGGGAUGGUUGGAAGGGGAGUAAUCUGCUACAAUGUUUUACAUCUUCUAUAG